rnacentral:ncRNA from 1 species
AGCUGCCCAGAGUGGCGCAAGCCACAUAUCCCGUGACAUUGCGAAAGCAAGGCUGGCGGUAGGUAGUCCUGGGCGGCGACAGCCUUGGACUGCGGCGUAAAGGUGUACCUGGGGCCGUUAAACCUAUCGU